CCAUCAUCUAAUUUUCCAUACAUCUAUCCAGUGUCUCUCCUGGUUCUGGGAUCUGUGCUCUUCCUGGCCUUAGUGCUUCUGGUUGUGCUGUUUUAUCAGAACAGAGUGCUCAGGAGAGUGAUUUCUAAGGCGAGGAGGAAGACUCUGCUUGAGGCAGUCUAUGAAGAGAUUAACCAUAAAUGUGUCACUAACAGAUAUACUAAAAGAGGAAGUUUUAUCUCUGAAGAUCAGCAUUCAGGAUAUGAGGACGUAGAUGAGGAGCUUCUCUCAGGUAAGUUGACAUAUACUGAAUGUGUGUUAGAAUUUUUAAUGCAGAAGAAAAAACAUAUAUAUAUUUUUUGUUUUAUAGAAAAAAGUUCCAUGCAAUAUGUGUAGGGUUCUGAAGUGUUUUAGCAGUUAGCAUCAGGCUUCAGGCCGAUAAGACUCACCCCUGAACGGGAAAAUAGUGAGCGUGGUUAGCGGGUAAUGCUAAUGCUAAAUUCAAUUUAUCUUUGACUACUCCAUUAUAUCCAUGUCUGGCACGUUAAAAACAAUGUCUUGCCUACUGUACAGUUUGUAAUAGUGAUUUUAGGAUUGCCCAGGGGUAACUACAGGAUUGCAAAAGGCAUGUUGAGGUGAGUUAAUAUCCUUUGGUGUGUGGGAGUUUUUUUUUUGUUUUUUUUUUAAAGGGACACACUUUGAUUUGUCAACCAGUUCUGAUCGCAGAGGGCGACAGUACCAAUACAUUGAAAACCCCUUAGUAUUUUAAAAGUUUGAGUCUUUGAGUAACAGUGUCUUGCUGCCAUCAUCCUGAUGCUGCUGUGCUGCAAUGCAUUUUUUAA